AGUCACUGGAGGGACGGUUUUUCAUAUAGAAGUGACAAUUAUCAGACCACAGACAACAAUAGUAGAAGCUGAUGACAUCGUAAAGCCAAUGGGAAAAGCCAGGUAUCCGGGGAGGCUUCAUGAAAGGUGGUGAACCCCAGUCAUGGCCUCGAUCAGGUGUGCUGCCUCCUGUGGAGUCUUGUGUGAGGAUUUGGGCCCCUGUGGAGUCAUAGCAACACUGCUGGCCUGCUGCAUACACAGGACUGGUUGAGAAAUGGAGAGAGAAAAAAGUCAUCAUUCAGCUCUGCGAAGUCUAUUUGUGCUUACAGGUGCCACACUAUCUACAUCAAGAACUGUAGACACAUGGAAGAAUUAUGAAGGAGCAUCUGCCCAAACUCAGGAUAUGUAUGAAGCACUUGCAGAGAUAUUUCACCAAAUAUCAUAAGGAAAUAGUUAAUGAAAUAAAAGGAAGUGGACUUAACAUUUGUAGGAAUGCAAAGGUUUACAUACAAAAUAGAAAAAAAUACAUGCAGAGAAGAACCUGUUGCUGCUGUGGGAAAAUAAAAAAUUUUA